rfam:Caldisalinibacter kiritimatiensis strain L21-TH-D2 NODE_302, whole genome shotgun sequence.
UCCAUCGUGAGGUGGAAUCUGAAGGAAGUCGGCGGCAAAGCAUUGAACCGAGGUACACGAAUCAC